UACGGAGGGUGCAAACGUUGCUCGGAAUUAUUGGGCGUAAAGCGCACGUAGGCGGACCAUCAAGUCGGUUGUGAAAUCCCUCGGCUUAACCGAGGAACUGCCUGUCAGACUGGAAGGCUUGAGACCGGGAGAGGUGAGUGGAAUUCCCAGUGUAGCGGUGAAAUGCGUAGAUAUUGGGAGGAACACCAGUGGCGAAGGCGGCUCACUGGACCGGAACUGACGCUGAGGCGCGAAAGCGUGGGGAGCAAACAGG
rnacentral:rRNA from 1 species